rnacentral:rRNA from 1 species
CCCUUAGAUGUUCUGGGCCGCACGCGCGCUACACUGAUGCGUUCAACGAGUAUACAACCUUGAUCGAUAGGUCUGGGUAAUCUUGUGAAUGCGCAUCGUGCUAGGGAUAGAUUGUUGCAAUUUUCAAUCUUGAACGAGGAAUUCCUAGUAAACGCAAGUCAUCAGCUUGCAUUGAUUACGUCCCUGCCCUUUGUACACACCGCCCGUCGCACCUACCGAUUGAAUGAUCCGAUGAAUAUCAUGGAUUGAGGAUGCAAGUAGGUUCACCUAUCUUCAUCUUCGAGAAGUGAAGUAAAUCUUAUCAUUUAGAGGAAGGAGAAGUCGUAACA